AUUAACUGCAGAAACCUUUCAUUAAGAGAAGUACUUCAUCAUAUCAUCAAAUUAAAGAACAAACAUUAUAUUUCUUUUAUUACAUGGUAAUAGAAAUAUUCAGAAACUCACCAGCUCCUUCAUACUUGCCAUAGUUGCACCAACAUAGUAAUGAUGUAUCAGUAUCACACAAACAAACCAAAAAAAUAAAAAGGGGAGAUCAAGAAUUCAAAUGACAUCUCUCAAAAACAACACAAAUAUUGAAGCAACGAACUCAUCAUAAUGAUGAUAUCGUGCUUUAAUUUCAUUUCUUCCUAGCUAAAGAAGUACAGAAUAACAUGAAAAAAAAAAAGAAAAACGAAAAUAAUUCUCAAACACUCAUAUAACUUGCACACAUAGAUCUAAUGAACAAUAUAGAUUAGUCGGACCAGCAGGCUUCAAUUCCCCGGAGAGAGAGAAAGAGAAAGAGCGCGUAAAAGAAGAAGAAGAAAGCCAAAGUAUUAUUUAACCUUCUUCACUCAUAGUUUGUAGCUAGCUAGGGUUUCUUCUUCUUCAACGAGCCCAUCUUCAAUCUACAAACGACGUUCUUCUUCUUCUUCUUCUUUUUCUCGAGCCCUUUUUCUCUUUAUUCUCCUUUUAGUUGCGAUCUUUAAGGUCGUUGGCUGGAUUUUCAGAGAGUAAAAGAAAAAGGGUUUAUGAUGAAAGUGAGGGAAUAAUGAUGAUGAUGAUGGGAUAUUCGAGAGAUUAUUAGAGGACAUGAUCAUUACUGCAGGGUGUUUUUUGCUUUGAGUUGAGAAAUUUGAGAGAGAGAAAUUUGAAGGAAUAAGGCUUAUGAUUUAACUUCCAAAAUUAUAGCUGCAAAUUAUCAAGAAAGGAAAUUCUUUUCUUCUACAGUCAUGAGAGAGAAAGAGUAAGAACGAGCUUAUAUUCUUUCUCUUUUCUUGAAGUUAUGCGACUUUUCUUUUUGUUUCUCACUCCGUAUUCGGUCAUCUAUUGGAGCUCGAUUAUACUACCACGUAAGAUUUCAGUUGAAGAAAAAUGUUCCUUACUAAGAUUUUUUUCAUAUUCAGGCUCUAAUCUGAAACCGUUGAUUAAGAGAAGAACACUUACAUCUAUUACACCACAUACUUUGUUGCUAGAAAAUUAUGCUGCUUUUCUUCUAUUUUAAUCUUAGAUUUUUUAUUUUCUUUUUUCUUUUUUUUUUCUG
rnacentral:lncRNA from 1 species